GAAGAUACACUGUCCACAGUGUGUUUGAUAAGUUGAUAGGGGACAGGAUUUCUUUUCACUUUUGUGUCAGUGAAUGUUAGAAAUAAAUAAAUACCAGUUUUUCCUUGUGUCAGUUUAUCGAACUCACACCUAGACAUC
rnacentral:pre_miRNA from 1 species